UCGAGGGGCAUCGGGGAGAGCUUCGGCUUUCCCGCCGGCGACCGGCGCACGGGUGAGUAACGCGUAUCCAACCUGCCCAUGGCUGGGGGAUAACCUUGCGAAAGCAAGCCUAAUACCCCAUGGUCUCCUUCCGGGGCAUCCCGGCGGGAGUAAAGGAGCGAUCCGGCGAUGGAUGGGGAUGCGUCCGAUUAGCUUGCCGGUGGGGUGACGGCCCACCGGGGCGAUGAUCGGUAGCCGACCUGAGAGGGUGAUCGGCCACAUUGGAACUGAGAGACGGUCCAGACUCC
rnacentral:rRNA from 1 species